UACAGGGGGGGCAAGCGUUGUUCGGAAUUACUGGACGUAAAGGGCUUGUAGGUGGCCAACUAAGUCCGACGUGAAAUCCCUAGGCUUAACCUAGGAACUGCGUCGGAUACUGGAUGGCUUGAAUCCGGGAGAGGGAUGCGGAAUUCCAGGUGUAGCGGUGAAAUGCGUAGAUAUCUGGAGGAACACCGGUGGCGAAGGCGGCAUCCUGGACCGGUAUUGACACUGAAAAGCGAAAGCCAGGGGAGCAAACGGG
rnacentral:rRNA from 1 species